AGUUUGUCCCAAAACAACUAAACAAGCAGACGUGAAGCAGAGGAAGUCUUAUUUGUUCAAUUCUGACGUCCGUUCGAUCAAAUCGAAAAAUGAAGACGGGGUUAAUGGUAUUACAACUUAUUCAUCUGGUUUCUGUUACACUGGCUGCUGUUGUUCCAGCAGCAGUCGAUGCUCAAGUCACCGCUGAUGUAGCAGACAAGAAAGAUAAUGUCAUAAUAACGUUAACCGAAUCAGUCGAAUCCGCUGAAUCUAUCGAGUCACUCGGAAGCAACGAUCCGAAAUUAACCAGCGGUACUCCGGCGAUAGAAGGAAAUCAAGAAAAAGAGUCCGCUGAAUCAACAGAGUCACCUGUAUUAGACAACGAUGUCCUGAAAACCUCCAGCACAUUCCAUCGUCGUUACCAUUAUCCAGCAAGAUAUCCUCAAUACUAUUAUCGCCGACCAGUUGCUUCCGGCGGAUAUUACAACAGAUAUCCUCAGAGGCAGAGCGUCAAUCGCUAUUCAUAUUACAAUCGGCAGCCAGUCUGGCCUUACACCCUGCAGGGUAUAAUAGACUGGGUGGGAGACGGCGGGGAGUACAUACCCGAAUAAGCGCUGGUGACGUAAGCGAGGAGCCAGAAGCAAACGUUCUGGAGGCAGCUAUUAAUUCACAUUAUACCUGCUGGACGACUUAUUAUUGACGCCACGGAAGUGACAUGAGAUUAUAUAAAACCAUCACUUAAAUAUGCAGAAAUAAUUGUUGCAAUUUUUUGAUUUUGUUGUCUGUUAUCUAUUUUUAUUCAAAUUUCAAAUACUUCAUAUAUACAUACUAAAGCUAAAAAUUGUUACGUGAAGAAAAGAUAAAUGGCACCGAAUCUGCGA